rnacentral:siRNA from 1 species
CUGCUGGUCCGAUCUCAUA